GCCGAUGUGGCGAAAUGGCAGACGCAAGGGACUUAAAAUCCCUCGGAGUAACAUCCGUACCGGUUCGAGUCCGGUCAUCGGCACCA
rnacentral:tRNA from 1 species